AGAAGCCCCACGAUCCCAAUUUCCCCUGAAUCAUGGUUACUUCCCUCCAAGCUUACCACGAGGCUUCUGGAUUCUUACUUCUGGCUUUUUGAUAGGCGCCUAGAUGCUUUUGCAAGCCUGAGGUGUCAUGCUUCCAGCCUGCCGGGUCCACGUGUGGAAGCCUGGUGUCUCAGGCACGGCUACAUCACCGAGUAUUGUCAGUCCGGGAACCCAGGCCCUCAGCUGUCCCCUCUGCAUCUCUGUCCCCUGAGCCACAGAUCACAGAACCACCAGUUCCUGGCUGUGGCUGCUCCUGAAAAACCUUAAAUUGAGUGAAAAGGCCUGUCAAACCCAAGAGGUUUCAGAUGAAACAUUUCAAGCUCAGCAAGCAAAGUCUGCUUAGCAAAAUGCCUGUAGGAUGUUAUUGAAACAGUGUGGACUAUCCCUGCAACAUCACUCAAGUAAGAACUAAAAAGAUGACCCUGUAGAGCUGCUCUACGUAGGCAUUGAUGGCCUAAGACUGUCAGAAGGUCACCUCUGUUACGUUCCUAUCUUGUGCUGCAGAGCUCUGAGUCAAGGUGCUCUGUGACAUCAGGAGACAGUCCAUACUGUAAGAAAUAUACUUGAGAGGAAGAUGAAGGUGAAGUGAAGCGUUAUACUAAUUCCAGGAGAAAUCUGUUCUCUCUCCUCCUGGAUCCAAGGAAGAAGAGUUGUCAAUAACCUAGAACUUUAUCAGUGAUGCCAAAAGAGACAGAGAUCAGACCAUGUCUGAAAGACAGUUACUUCAGAAACCGUGCAAGUGCAGCAGUCUGCUGGACUUCUUCACAUCCUUCUGCUGAAUGCAGCUAAGGACAUGAAUCCCAUGAGAUGGGUCUCAUCCUAGUCCUAUGGCAACAAAACUCUAGUGAUAUCGAACAAUUAAUUGGGAUUUACACAUCUCUGCAUGAAAAGAGGCACAAAUCUUUAUGCAUGGUAUUUUUUCCAUUUUUAAAAAGCUCUGAAAUCUAGUAUGGUUCUGAUAAUACCAAGGGAUAAAGCAUUAACUUUCUUCAAAUCUACUUUCUUAAGGAGUUCUCUUCCUUACCUCUUGUGUAAUUUUACAACCUGUGCCAAAAAAGGAUCAGCAAAAAAUAAAAGAAAGGCAUGUGAGCUCAGUUCUGCAAAGUUUGCAAUGACCUGGCACUGCCACUGAGGGCCUCUUCCAAACCUCAGGGAAGUUAAUAAAAAGGCUAUCGGAUCAAUUCUUUAAGCACUUGCUUAAUUUUAAACCUGUGGCUAGUGACAAGGAAGUCAUUUGUUUUAACAUUUACGCUUAUCUGCUUUGCUGGAUCUUGACCAAGCAGCUCAAUGACUGGCAGAUAUAGCCCCAAAAUGUUUAGUACAUUAUUCAGUCCUCACUUUUGUGCCCUGUUUGUUAACGCUUUAUUUCUGUUGCUGUUCUGCUGUCCCCCCCAGGCUGAUGGGGGCGGAGUGGAACUACAUCAAUAGGAAAGAAUCAGGCUACACGGAGUUUCUAGCAGGCCACUGGAAAAAUUAUUUUACUGCUGCUUCAGGUAGAUUUAUGUAGAGUGUUCUCAAUGCUUAUUUACUGAGUCAGCAGUUUUCUAGGCAAAAAUUACUUUCUUCAGCAUGCAGAAAUGACCAGUGGUUGAAAACCUCCAUGCUGAGAAAUAAGUUCUAUUUAGACAAGCUGAGCCCUAAGAUAUUAUCUGAUUAUAUCCCAUUCUGGUUUUCACUCUCCAAGGUUUAAGCUGCUAUGCCCUAAAAAUUUUGUUACAACACCCCACUUCUACUAGCUCUCUGUACUGUGCAUUCCCAUUAAAAUCGUGGGGAACUCUGA